rnacentral:rRNA from 1 species
CGGGACGGGUGAGUAAUGUCUGGGAAAUGCCUGAUGAGGGGGAUAACUACUGGAAACGGUAGCUAAUACCGCAUAACGUCGCAAGACCAAAGAGGGGGACCUUGGGCCUCUUGCCAUCGGAUGUGCCCAGAUGGGAUUAGCUAGUAGGUGGGGUAAAGGCUCACCUAGGCGACGAUCCCUAGCUGGUCUGAGAGGAUGACCAGCCACACUGGAACUGAGACACGGUCCAG